rnacentral:rRNA from 1 species
UACGGAGGGGGCUAGCGUUGUUCGGAAUUACUGGGCGUAAAGCGCGCGUAGGCGGCUUUGUAAGUUAGAGGUGAAAGCCCGGAGCUCAACUCCGGAACUGCCUUUAAGACUGCAUCGCUAGAACGUCGGAGAGGUAAGUGGAAUUCCGAGUGUAGAGGUGAAAUUCGUAGAUAUGUGGAGGAACACCAGUGGCGAAGGCGACUCUUUGGCCUGUAACUGACGCUGAGGCGCGAAAGCGUGGGGAGCAAACAGG